CUAUCCAUGGGAAGGUCGACUAUCCAUAUAAAUAGAUGGAUAGUCGACCUUCCCAUGGAUAG
rnacentral:sRNA from 1 species